rnacentral:rRNA from 1 species
AACGAACGCUGGCGGCAUGCCUAACACAUGCAAGUCGAACGAGACCUUCGGGUCUAGUGGCGCACGGGUGCGUAACGCGUGGGAACCUGCCCUUAGGUUCGGAAUAACUCCCCGAAAGGGGUGCUAAUACCGGAUAAUGUCUUCGGACCAAAGAUUUAUCGCCUUUGGAUGGGCCCGCGUUGGAUUAGCUAGUUGGUAGGGUAAAAGCCUACCAAGGCGACGAUCCAUAGCUGGUGUGAGAGGAUGAUCAGCCACACUGGGACAGAGACACGGCCCAGACUCCCCCGGGGGGCGGAAGGGGGGGAAAUAUGAGAAAGGGCGGAAACCCGAGACCCGGAAGCCGCGGGAGUGAUAAAAGGCUUAGGGGUGUAUAAAGCUUUUUCACCGGAGGAGAAAGACAGAACCGGGAGAAAAAACCCCGGCUAACACCCU